UCCAGACUCCUACGGGAGGCAGCAGUGGGGAAUAUUGCACAAUGGGCGAAAGCCUGAUGCAGCAACGCCGCGUGAAGGAAGAAGGGUUUCGGCUCGUAAACUUCUAUCAACAGGGACGAAAGAAAUGACGGUACCUGAAGAAGAAGCCCCGGCUAACUACGUGCCAGCAGCCGCGGUAAUACGUAGGGGGCAAGCGUUAUCCGGAUUUACUGGGUGUAAAGGGGGCGCAGACGGCGAUGCAAGCCAGGAGUGAAAGCCCGGGGCCCAACCCCGGGACUGCUCUUGGAACUGCGUGGCUAGAGUGCAGGAGGGGCAGGCGGAAUUCCUGGUGUAGCGGUGAAAUGCGUAGAUACCAGGAGGAACACCGGUGGCGAAGGCGGCCUGCUGGACUGCAACUGACGUUGAGGCCCGAAAGCGUGGGGAGCAAACAGGAUUAGAUACCCCAGUA
rnacentral:rRNA from 1 species